rnacentral:rRNA from 1 species
GACAGAGGUGCCGAGCGUUAGGCGGAAUCACUGGGCUUAAAGCGUGUGUAGGCGGAUGGGUAAGUACCUUGUGAAAUCCCACGGCUCAACCGUGGAACUGCUCGGUAUACUGCUCGUCUUGAGCCAACUAGGGGCGACCGGAACAAACGGUGGAGCGGUGAAAUGCGUAGAGAUCGGGUGGAACACCAGGGGCGAAGGCGGCAUCCUGGCUCUGUACUGACGCUGAGGCGCGAGAGCGUGGGGAGCAAACAGG